GUGCUCAUUUGAGCAGCACAUAUACUAAAAUUGGAAUGAUACAGGGAUGAUUAGCAUGGCCCCUGCGCAAGUAUGAAACGCAAAUCCAUGAAGCGUUCCAUUUUUUA